UACGUAGGCAGCGAGCGUUGUUCGGAAUCACUGGGCGUAAAGAGCUCGUAGGCGGUUUGUCGCGUCGAAUGUGAAAACCCGGGGCUCAACCCCGGGCCUGCAUUCGAUACGGGCAGACUAGAGUUCGGUAGGGGAGUCUGGAAUUCCUGGUGUAGCGGUGAAAUGCGCAGAUAUCAGGAGGAACACCGGUGGCGAAGGCGGGACUCUGGGCCGAUACUGACGCUGAGGAGCGAAAGCGUGGGGAGCAAACAGG
rnacentral:rRNA from 1 species